rnacentral:lncRNA from 1 species
AAUUUAAGAUGCCUAAAUUAGUGCUUGUUUUGUAUUAGUUAGUAUGCGUAUGUGUUUGAGAUUUUGUAGUAAUUGAAAAUUUGUCAGUAAAAAUGUUUAAUUUUUGCUAGUGUAUAGCAACAGUUGUGAAAGAGUUACAAAAAAUAACCGUUUCUCUAGCGGUCAAUUAAACAGUCGGCAAAGAUCUUUAGUGACGGAGAUCUAACGAUGGUCAUAGAAUUUUUGUUGACGGUUCUAUAAAUGUUGGGAAAAAACUUGUUAGCGGUUGUGGAGAUUUUUGCCAGCGGUUUUGGCCGUUUCUAAAACUCAUUUUUCUUGUAGUAUAAUGGUGUCCAUAUUAUAUCCAUAUCCUAAUUUUUUGAAACUAUUGAGCCACCGUGUUCAAGUUGUGUCGUGUUCUAUGUCUCCUGCAAUAUAAAUCCGUGUCGCCUAGGUAAUUUCACUUGCG